CCGUUACCUCCGUUUCAGAGCGGGAGGGCGCACGGAACCAGGCAGGCGCACCAAAACACACAUAGCCAAACAGGAUCACACGGCUACCCCGGGCCGCCUGGCACGCCCCUGUCCAGAGGAGAGCCCCGGAAGACACGCCCGGAGCCCGCGAUCAGCCGUUUCUACAAGCCCUCAAUGUGCGAGGACCCCUGGGCCGGCCUGCAGCCUGUGGCCCGCGCCCCGGGAACGGACCACAGCUCGGGGAGACCCCUCUCCCACUGCCGGCCUUAGCUUUGGGAAUCCCCACACACCCAAACAAAAAGCAGAGACCGGAAAACUGCCUUCAAGGCUCACUUUGCCCGAGCAGGGGUACAGAGGACACCUGGAUUUCAGUGCUCUGUGCGGUGCCCCCACACUGCCAUACACAAUAGGGUUCUGCCAUGACAACGAGCAAGGCCAAAGGUCAUCACCUUGGCAACGAUAUGGAACCACUAUCGGCGUACAGCACAGCACUGCACACACUUAAUACACAACCUGGGACUGAAGACGUAGGACCCGGAAGAGGGUAUAGACAGUCAACAGGGGAUUUUAUUUAUUUAUAGAAUCAAUACACUAUGUGUAAUUUUAAAAACAAUCAAUGCUUUAUGCAAUUGAAAGGUAAGUCUUUACACCAUGGGCCAUACAGAUUUGCUUUGUGCAAUGUGAUUUGCAUCCAAAAGUCAAUCAUUAAAAGAAAGUUGUGCCUU